UACGUAGGGGGGCAAACGUUGUCCGGAUUUACUGGGUGUAAAGGGUGCUCAGGCGGUCUUGUAAGUCAGAAGUGAAAUCCUAGAGCUUAACUCUGGAACUGCUUUUUGAUACUGCAAGGCUUGAAUAUGGAAGAGGAGGGUGGAAUUUCUGGUGUAGCAGUGAAAUGCGUAGAUAUCAGAAAAGAACACCAGUGGCGAAAGGCGGCCCUCUGGUCCAUUAUUGACGCUAAAAGCACGAAAAGCGUGGGGGAGCAAACAGG
rnacentral:rRNA from 1 species